AACAUGAGCCAUUCACCGCACAUGUGGCAGGUGUGGAUGACAGUUCACUUAGAUGAAAUAAACCUUUUAAACUUUUCUUUGAAUCAAAUUUGAAUUUAUAACCACUCUCCUAUCAAGCAGAUAAAGGAUUCAGUUGCAGCCCUUCUUUCCAUUUCCAGGAAGAAUGCAGAGGUACCUUGCUUUUGUGUACCACUGAGGUCUGGUUGGUCACUCUGGACACUAGUUACCAGUCUGCACUGGUUACCACAAAAGCAAAAGUCUCAUAGUGCCUUCAGAUGUACUCCUUCUGCUGUUGGAAUAGCCUGGGAUGAUAGCAACAGGGGGCUAUUCAUCCAGCAUAUUUCAGUGCAGGCAUACCAGUGAAACCCUUUUGUGAAGGAUUAGCAAAUAGACAUUAAGUUCUUUCCCAGCGGGAUCCCUCCCCUAUGAGAGUCACACCUCCUCAAUGACACGGCAAUUAAUGGAAUCACACCUGACAGAAGGACCAGUUACUACUUAUAUUUAGUAAUUGCAACUUAGAGUUUUUAAGACUUUUACCUUGGUCAUGAACAUUUUAGUCAAAGCUGGAAAUUACAGUGUCAUUUCCCUAUAGUAUCUUGCCAGGAAGAUGCCAAGAAGCUGUGUGCCUAUUGUUCUGGGAACCACAAUUUCCAGGAUCUGUUUCAGAAUCUUCUUAAUCUAAAAAGUGACUCCUUUCUCUUCUUAUUCUCCUCCAAAGCCCAGUCUUCUUCUCAAAUCUUAUCUUCCUCUCUUUCCAGGAUAUUUAGCCUAAUUUUCUGAUUGACCUUCAGAUUUGGAAUAGGGAAACCAGGACAGAAAUGACUUGAAAGAAAAAUCUUGAUUUCUUUUUUCCUUUCCACAAAUUACCAGUUAAGCAAGAGAAGCACACAGCCUGCUACUAGUAUAAUGUUGGGGAUUAGGGAUGAUAAAUGAAGGAGGAAAGUAGAGCGAGAAAAACAUAAAUGCCCCGUGUGAUUUAUGUAUGAAGAGCAUCCAAAUGAUGAAAGUUUCAGAGAUACCCUCAUAAAGAUGCAUGUGAAUAUAAGAUCUGAGAGGUUAAGCCCUAGAGCAAAGAUACUACUGUCCCUUCCAGACACUCCAUGGAAGGCUACUGCUACUUUUUAUCAUCAUGACCCAUGCUAAUUCUUCUCUGAAUAGACCAAUAUUUUUCUGAUGAACACAUUCCUUUGAACCAUUUUAAUGUGCACAGUCAACUGAUAAAUU
rnacentral:lncRNA from 1 species